rnacentral:rRNA from 1 species
UACGGAGGGAGCUAGCGUUGUUCGGAAUUACUGGGCGUAAAGCGUACGUAGGCGGCUUUGUAAGUCAGAGGUGAAAGCAUGUAGCUCAACUCCAGAACUGCCUUUGAGACUGCAUCGCUCGAAUCCGGGAGAGGUGAGUGGAAUUCCGAGUGUAGAGGUGAAAUUCGUAGAUAUUCGGAAGAACACCAGUGGCGAAGGCGGCUCACUGGACCGGUAUUGACGCUGAUGUGCGAAAGCGUGGGGAGCAAACAGG